UCCGGCAGCUGGCAGACUACGCAAGAAAAGGUAAAGGAACCACCAAGAGGGGGAAGCAGAGGCUGCAGAAGGAUCAGUGCGCAUACUGCAAGGAGAUAGGGCAUUGGGCCCGAGAUUGUCCGAAAAGGGCCGGCGGGAAGGGAUGCAAGACUGAUCAAGUAAAAGUCCUAGAGCUGGAUGAACUAAGUGAUUAGGGGAGUCAGGGUUCGGACCCUCUCCCCGAACCCAGGCUGCCUCUUAUACACAACU